AACGAACGCUGGCGGCAUGCCUAACACAUGCAAGUCGAACGAGACCUUCGGGUCUAGUGGCGCACGGGUGCGUAACGCGUGGGAACCUGCACUUAGGUUCGGAAUAACUCCCCGAAAGGGGUGCUAAUACCGGAUAAUGUCUUCGGACCAAAGAUUUAUCGCCUUUGGAUGGGCCCGCGUUGGAUUAGCUAGUUGGUAGGGUAAAAGCCUACCAAGGCGGCGAUCCAUAGCUGGUCUGAGAGGAUGAUCAGCCACACUGGGACUGAGACACGGCCCAGACUCCUACGGGAGGCAGCAGGGGGGAAUAUGGGACAAUGGGCGAGAGCCUGAUCCAGCAGUGCCGCGUGAGUGAUGAAGGCGUUAGGGUUGUAAAGCUCUUUUACCCGGGAUGAUAAGGACAGUACCGGGAGAAUAAGCGCCGGCAAACUCCGU
rnacentral:rRNA from 1 species